rnacentral:rRNA from 1 species
GGACCUAGCGGCGGACGGGUGAGUAAUGCUUAGGAAUCUGCCUAUUAGUGGGGGACAACAUCUCGAAAGGGAUGCUAAUACCGCAUACGUCCUACGGGAGAAAGCAGGGGAUCUUCGGACCUUGCGCUAAUAGAUGAGCCUAAGUCGGAUUAGCUAGUUGGUGGGGUAAAGGCCUACCAAGGCGACGAUCUGUAGCGGGUCUGAGAGGAUGAUCCGCCACACUGGGACUGAGACACGGCCCAGACUCCUACGGGAGGCAGCAGUGGGGAAUAUUGGACAAUGGGGGGAACCCUGAUCCAGCCAUGCCGCGUGUGUGAAGAAGGCCUUAUGGUUGUAAAGCACU